AUGAGUCGCACAGUGAAGCUCCACCCAGAUCCUGAUCAGUCCUCCAUGAGGUUCACCUGGUCUGGGAAUGAAGAGCUUAACAGCUCCGGUGCAGCAUCAGAAGGGAGAGGCUUCAGUCACUUUGUAUCACUGUGGUGGACUUUUGGUGGAGGAACCAGACUGGAGUUUGGAAGUGACGCCCGUCCCACCCUGACGGUGCUGCCCCCCUCCAGUGAGGAGCUGCAGCAGGAGAAGGUCACAGUCCUGUGCCUGGCCAACAAGGGCUUCCCCUCAGACUGGAGUCUGGCCUGGAAGGUGGAGGGCAGCAGCAGCAGCAGCAGCUGGGAGGAGAGCAGGAGCCCCGGGGUGCUGGAGAAGGACGGCCUCUACAGCUGGAGCAGCACCCUGAGGCUCCCUGCAGACCAGUGGAGCAAGCUGGGCUCUGUGACCUGUGAGGCCACCCAGGGCUCCCAGACUCCGCUCUCAGAGACACUGAGGAGAGACCAGUGUUCCCAGUCCUGACCUGACUCACUGGGACUCUGCUACUGGUUUUACUCUGCUCCUGCUCUCUCUCUGCUCUCAUUAACACUGUCUCUCUCUCUUUUAUUUCACAUGUUUCACUAACAAUAUUUACCAGCUUCUCUCAGUGUUUCAAUAUUGUUUCUGUGUUUCCAGAUAAUAAAAAUCUGAUC